rnacentral:rRNA from 1 species
GGGCCCGCACAAGCGGUGGAGUAUGUGGUUUAAUUCGAUGCAACGCGAAGAACCUUACCAGGGUUUGACAUCCUGCGAAUCUCUUGGAAACAGGAGAGUGCCUUCGGGAACGCAGUGACAGGUGGUGCAUGGCUGUCGUCAGCUCGUGCCGUGAGGUGUUGGGUUAAGUCCCGUAACGAGCGAAACCCUUAUCGUUAGUUGCCAGCGGGUAAUGCCGGGGACUCUAGCGAGACUGCCGUUGUCAAAACGGAGGAAGGUGGGGACGACGUCAAGUCAUCAUGGCCCUUAUGGCCUGGGCUACAAACGUGCUACAAUGGUCCGUACAAUGGGUACCCAAGUCGCGAGACGGAGGCAAUCCCAUCAAAGCGGGCCCCAGUUCGGAUUGGAGUCUGCAACUCGACUCCAUGAAGCUGGAAUCGCUAGUAAUCCC